CAGCCGCCGCGGGAAUACAGAGGUCCCAAGCGUUGUUCGGAAUCACUGGGCGUAAAGGGUGCGUAGGCGGCGCGGAAAGUCAGGGGUGAAAUCCCGGAGCUCAACUCCGGAACUGCCUUUGAUACUCCCGCGCUCGAGAACUGGAGGGGAGACCGGAAUUCACGGUGGAGCAGUGAAAUGCGUGGAUAUCGUGAGGAACACUAGUGGCGAAGGCGGGUCUCUGGACAGUAUCUGACGCUGAGGCACGAAGGCCAGGGGAGCGAACAGGAUUGAUACCCCCGUAGUCCCUGUCUCUUAUACA
rnacentral:rRNA from 1 species